rnacentral:lncRNA from 1 species
CAUUACAGAUGCUCAAUUUUCUCCUUAUGUGGAUAAGAUGGCUUUCUCUCCUACUUCAUCCCCCGGAUACAGCCCGUCAUCCCCUGGUUACAGCCCGUCGUCCCCUGGUUACAGCCCGACCUCUCCAGGUUACAGCCCCACAUCCCCAGGUUACAGCCCCACGUCCCCGGGGUACAGCCCCACUUCCCCCACUUAUAGCCCCAGCUCUCCUGGCUACAGCCCGACAAGUCCGGCAUAUUCCCCAACCAGUCCAUCGUACUCUCCCACAUCACCCAGUUAUAGUCCAACAUCUCCGAGCUAUAGCCCUACAUCUCCUAGUUAUAGCCCAACAUCGCCUAGCUAUAGCCCUACUUCUCCUGCAUACAGCCCCACUUCGCCUGCCUACAGCCCCACUUCGCCUGCCUACAGCCCCACUUCUCCAUCUUACAGCCCCACUUCGCCAUCUUACAGCCCCACCUCACCUUCUUACAGCCCCACCUCGCCUUCAUAUAGCCCCACCUCACCAAGUUAUAGUCCAACUUCUCCAUCAUAUAGUCCCACUUCUCCUGCAUACAGUCCUACCUCCCCUGGUUACAGCCCAACAUCUCCCAGUUACAGCCCAACAUCACCAUCAUAUAGUCCUACAUCACCAAGUUACAAUCCCUCGGCUAGAUACAGCCCCUCCCUUGCAUAUUCGCCAACCAGUCCAAAGCUGUCUCCUUCUAGUCCAUACAGCCCGUCAUCUCCAAGUUACAG